rnacentral:lncRNA from 7 species
GCUCAAGCGCCAGGCCAAGAGAAAGGGAAAAAUGGAGAUCAAGGAGCUCCAGCUGCGGCAGGACAGGCAGACGGCGAAUGAAUACCUUUGGCUGAGCCUGCCAUACCUGCAAAA